GCCCGUCUGGCGGAAUCGGUAGACGCACCUGUUUCAAGAACAGGCGCCGCGAGGCACUUGUCGGUUCGAGUCCGACGUCGGGCACCA
rnacentral:tRNA from 1 species